ACUCUAACGUGUAACCGAUGUGAUCUCUCCGAUCUUAAGAUUUGGAUACAUCUACUGAUCUACACACAAACACAGUUACUUCAUUUUUUGGGAAAGAAAUACAUACACUGAUACAUAUAAGGACUGGGUCCGAAACAGCACACCCCAAAUCAAAUGCAGACACUCAAACAAACUUUAUCUAACAUCAUAAUUAAGUAAACAACUUAAGCCAAAUUAAGUGAAAGUUCCGGAGGAAUAAGCAUAAUUAACGUUACUUAAUUAGUGAUUAAUUAUGACGAUCGUCACUUCUUCAAGAAACCCUGAGCAACCUUAAGGUAAUCCCCAACCCCACCUGAUCCACCCUCCUCCUCCUCCUCCUCAUCCUCCUUUUUACUAGGUUUCUUCCUAGUCUCAUGCUCUCCGCUCACCGGAUAGUUCUCAUCAUCGUCUCUUCUGUCCUUCCCCAUACUAGACUUAUAAGACUCAGAAGAAUUGUGACUUCCUCCUCCGCCGCUUUCACCGUCACCGCCGCUGCCGUACUUGCGGAGCAUAUCCUCGGCCUUACCAACAUAACUCCCAAGUCCUUCUUUCUCGUCCAGCUUGCCAUAGUGUGCGGCACCGCUUAAGAUGUUACUAGCAGCCUCGGAAACCCUAGCUCUGUCGAUAUUUUCGUCGCCCCCUUUGUUCAUCGAAGAUUUGGCUGCUUCCGCCACAAUCUUUGCACUCGACAUCAGCUCACUCGUCGUCGGUGGCGCACGUCCCGGCUUCCCGUGGUGACCCUCCGUCGCGGACUUUCUCUCGCCGCCGUACUGAUCUUCCUGGUCUUUGUCCCCGUAACCUCCAGACCCGUGGCGACCCUCCAUGGCGGAUUUUCUCUCGCCACCGCACUGAUCUUCCUGGUCUUUGUCCCCGUAACCUCCAGACCCGUGGCGACCCUCCGUGGCGGAUUUUCUCUCGCCACCGUAUUGAUCUUCCUGGUCUUUGUCCCCGUAACCUCCGGAAGAGAAAGCUGCUGAAAGCCGAUCCAUUAAUGAGUGAAGAAAGGUAGAAGUGCUUUUGCUUGCGAGGAGGGUUUGCUAAAACGGGUUGAAGGUGAUGAUAUUUAAUACUGACUUGCUCUUGCUUUAUGGGUGGAUGGAUGGAUAAUUAAAAAUAUUUAUGAUUGUCGGUAGGAAAUAAAUCUGUCGGCAAGA
rnacentral:lncRNA from 1 species